rnacentral:rRNA from 1 species
GACGAACGCUGGCGGCGUGCUUAACACAUGCAAGUCGAACGGAAAGGCCCUGCUUUUGUGGGGUGCUCGAGUGGCGAACGGGUGAGUAACACGUGAGUAACCUGCCCUUGACUUUGGGAUAACUUCAGGAAACUGGGGCUAAUACCGGAUAGGAGCUCCUGCUGCAUGGUGGGGGUUGGAAAGUUUCGGCGGUUGGGGAUGGACUCGCGGCUUAUCAGCUUGUUGGUGGGGUAGUGGCUGACCAAGGCUUUGACGGGUAGCCGGCCUGAGAGGGUGACCGGCCACAUUGGGACUGAGCUACGGCCCAGACUCCUACGGGAGGCAGCAGUGGGGAAUAUUGCACAAUGGGCGGACGCCUGAUGCAGCAACGCCGCGUGCGGGAUGACGGCCUUCGGGUUGUAAACCGCUUUCGCCUGUGACGAAGCGUGAGUGACGGUAAUGGGUCAAGAAGCACCGGCUAACUACGUG